rnacentral:rRNA from 1 species
CAGUCUGCAACUCGACUGCACGAAGUCGGAAUUGCUAGUAAUCGCGGAUCAGCAUGCCGCGGUGAAUACGUUCCCGGGCCUUGUACACACCGCCCGUCACACCAUGAGAGUCGGGAACACCCGAAGUCGGUAGUCUAACCUCGUGAGGACGCCGCCGAAGGUGGGCUUGAUAAUUGGGGUGAAGUCGUAACAAGGUACC